UGCUUUUCAAGUAUUCAUACGAUAUCAAUUACUGUUAAGCAACAUUUCCAAAAGCACAAGCAGACAUGAGAAGCGGCCGAGGGCCCACUGCCUUCAAGGUCCGCUGUUGAGCUCUGGGAGGCGAGCACGCAAGCGUCAGGGCUCCGCGCCACCUGCUGGCCAGACGAGGUAGUGCGGCGCCCGCUGGGCGAACUCCUGGCGCUCCGCUCUUCAAAGUGAUCCACACCAGACCUGAAGUUAAGUCAGCCCUGCUAAGAAAAGACCGAAUUAUCUUUCUCUACAUAGAGAAUUAAAGGGUGAAACUGUUACCACAUGGGGACCAAGGGUAUGAAGCUGUAAUGUACUGGAAGGAAGAAAAAGCAGCUCGGAGCUGCCUCAGGAAGUCGCUCUCAACAGUCACGGAACCGCCGCUGUUGUUACUGUUAUAGAGCGCUCAAUCGUAUGAGCCUCCGCCUCACAACGUCUAGAUGUCCUUUGGGCACACUCCAGGCUGAUCGGCAAAGACACAGAACAAGCUGGGAGACCCAGCUGCCAGAACGGCUCCUUCACUCACUGGCUUCGCAGCUGGGCGCCCACAGGAGUUUCUCUCCAGCCCCGGCAUGCACUCUUACGCAGGCUCCCUUUACCUGUGUGUGCACUUGAGCUGUCUGGUGGCCACGCAGAAAACUGACCGAGGCUCCCUGAACAACAGAAGCUAAAGCUUGAGAGUGUUGCCUUCCACUUCCUUAUGAAGCACCUGGGGUCCUCAAGUCAGUCUGCCCCAAAGUAGAAACACGCCAGGAACACUAGCAAGUGAGGACAAGUAGAAAGAACUGGGUCCUCCAGUGCAGACAAGGUGACUGGAAAGGAAGGACAGAAUUGCUUAGAGCAAUUUGGGGAGGCUCAUGCCUGUGCAAGGGUUUGCAAGACUUGACUGAAAUUGACAAAGAGCAAGACACAAGGUGCAGAUGAAAGGAUCUGUCUUGGAGAGCGAGGCCAAGGAAUCCAUGAGGGCCGGCUGGAGGAAUGCAAGCUGCUGAUGGCUGGUUUGAUAGCUUCCCAGUGCUCUGAACACUGCUGCUACGGAGCCUAAGCCACGGUGACCACCACUCCCCACUGAAGAGCCGACCAAGCAUGUUCCUCAGAGUCUGCAUGCCUGCAGGACCAGGGUCCUUGUGAAGUGUGCUCUGGAAUCCCACCCUGGCCCAUGGGACCUCCCAGAAAUCUAUUAAUGGUCACAUACUUUGUGUCAUUUAUUUCUCAAAGAUGUCUUGAAGUAGGCAUCACAGCCUCUUCUUACGGAAGAGGAAACAGAGGAUCAGGGAUAUCUGUAACAAUAGAACAUUACUUAAAACAUUAUCCAGCUGCACAACUUUGGAGAUGGUGCUACCAUUCUUUGGGCUGUGUGGUUGUGGGCAUAAUACAUAACCUCUCUAUGCCUCAGUUUCUACAUUGGCAAAAUGGAACUUUUCAUACUAUCCAAUCCAAACAUUGUCUUAACACAUAACCACACUUAGAAGAGUGACUGACACAAUAAAUUCUCUGUAAAUGUCAGCUAUUUUAUUGUUACCAUCUUAUAGAACCUUCUCAAAGUCCUGAGCCAUCAAGGGGCUAGGAAAGAUCCUGCCACCAAUCCCCGGACAUGGUCUCAAACCUCAGCUCCCACCCACACCUGGGCAGCUGAGGGUAAUGUCACAGGAGGGAGCCCAGUGCAAGAAGGGAAAAGCAUUCCUCCUACCUCCCGACGGCGCCAGAACCACUGAAGAUGAAAUCUAGCUGCUAGUUUACUGAAAAGUACAUGAUGGUUCUAGAAAUUUUUUCCAACACAGAAAAAUGUAAAGAAAAAGUGCAGAAUUCGGCUACCAGGGAGCUUUUGCUAACAGGUUCUAUACUACUCUUUCCUAAUGAGGAGCUUUACUGGCCUGGCCCAGGAGAGGACGCUGUCUGAGAAUCAAAGCCCUCUCCUCUGCCUGUGUGUGGGGGGGGGGGACGAGAUUUCAAUUCAGUCUCCAGGGGAGGGGUACAGAGAGCUCUCAAAAGUAUGCCAAGAUGUAGGCACAAAAUACAGACACUCUUGGGGGGUCCACCAGUAAGGGGCACAUGCCAUGCAUUGUGCUGCAUCCAUUCAGUGGUGUUCCAGUAGAUGUUCGUAAGGAGGCCCCAAUAUGGAAAGAGUUCAAAAAUACAUUGCUAUGUUACAUAAGAGAAAAUCCCCAACAAGAUACUGGCAAACAGAAUGCAAUGAAUCAUCAAAAAGAUCAUAUGGGCUGGGG